UGUUGUUCUAUAUGCAGGUGAUUGGAUUGCCUGCCAAACACUCCAUAUAAUUUCCCAACCAAGGUGAUUGGAUUGCCUGCCAAACACUCCAUAUAAUUUCCCACCAAGGAGCCUAACGCAGGUUAGGUUAUUUUCUUCUUUAAGGUCAAUCUACCAUUCAAUUGCUUGCAUCCGUCCCAGGUUCCAUGGAUUUGAUCGAGACAUCAUUUGUGUAUGUAACUAAGCGAAUGCAGAAUGAAGUUUCAUAAAUACGACAAGCGAUCACAACAUGAAGCUAUGAUUGGGAUUAAGCUUUAUGUUUUGUUCUGUUGUUUCAGAAUUGCUUAUCGUUGCAGAUUAAUUUCAUGCAUAGUUUGACCCCAAGAAAAGAAGUUUUAAACUUAUAAUACCUGCAGAUCAUAUUGAGGAAUACAACAGCGACAAGAAAAAAACUCUUCUAUGUGUACUGCAUUUUAAGUCGACUGCAUGUGCAAAACCAUUCGUGUUCGGGCAUGAGGUCUGCUGAUGUUAAGCUGCAUCUUUUUUUUGUGCAGCAAGGUAUUAACUGUUAUCUUGCAUAUACAGGAUCCAUCAUACACAAUGCAGUUAUUGUCUUCCCGAACUCAUGUUACUUUUUAGAAAAUAAUAUUUUUCUUCAGAACAUUAGUCCAAGUAGUCCUUUUACAAGUAUAGGCAUCUUUUUAAUGGAGAUAGUUUUAUUUCCUAAGAAAAUAUACAUAGUGUAUUCUCACUACAGGUUGCCUUUGUUUUGCUUCAGCAAUGGUCAGCAAUGUGGUAACCGAGCCCAUACAAGGAGAAUUGAGUUGCGGAUAAUGUUGAGACACCAUGCUUUGCAGAUUAAAAGAUGGGAGCUUGCUAUAUGAUCAGAGACAACAAUUAGAUUACGAGAGUAAAAAUUAUCGUAUUUCAUGGAUCUAGGGUAUUCACUUGAGUAUGUAACCAUUUUUUAAAUCUGCUCUACGGACAUGGUUUUUACCAUUUUUUAAAUCUGACAUGGUUUUUAAGGUAACUGGUUCUUUUUGCAAAUAUAUAGCAAUGCAAAUUAGCCU